GUAUCGUGAGUUCCCUUUCUACCUUCGGCCACUUUCUUUCUAGCACAGCUCUCGGCUGUCUCCACCGUGUCUAAGAAGCUCUGGAAAUCAGAAUGUGCUCUAGAAGAUGGUGUUUGGAUCUGAAACUGUUACUGCCUCUGUUGUUUCUUGCGAUCAGCAUUCAAGCAGAUCAUUCAGUGCCUGAGAUGUUCAAGCUCUCUGGCAGCAAUGUGACUCUGCAAAUCUCUGAGAGCCUGCCUCAGGACUACAAGAGACUCACCUGGUUUUACAGUCACAGCCAGAAGAUUAUAGAAUGGGAGCACAACCAGCCAAGGACCUUUGGUCUUCAAUUUAGAGACAGGGUCCAGCUUAUUCGUCAAAGUGGUGCCCUACAUAUCACUAAUGUCCAGAGAGAAGACAGCAGCACCUACUUCAUGAGGGUGUUGAAGACGGAUGGGAAGUUGCAAGAGUGGAAGAUCACCCUGAAGGUGCUUGAUCCUGUUCCUCAGCCUUCUAUAACCAUUGUGAAGGCAAAGAAAGAGCACAACACCUGUUACCUGAAUCUGUCAUGUGUGGUGCCAGACCAGUCUGUAAAUUACAGGUGGUAUGACUACUCAGGGCUCCUUCCAAAGGAGCUCCAGAGCAGCAGGCUGGAAAUCAUCGUUAGGCCAGAAAACUUCUCCAAGUUUUACAUCUGUGAAGUCAGCAAUCCUGUGAGCAGCAAGUAUGGCACUGUCUGCUUCACAUCACUCUGUAUCCAGGCUACCCGGCCAGUCUUCUGGCCUCUGCUGAUGCCCUGCUUCAAUGCUGUCACACACCCAAGGGCGCAGUUUGAUGUCUGGCCAUGAGACCACAGCCUGGAGAGGCGGUUCCAACCCUACCUUUAUAUCUGCACCACAUCCUGAGAUCUGGAAACAAGAAGAGGGUGAUCCCUGUCCCUUAUAAAUUCGAGUGACUGUUCAUCUGCAGAGAGGAUAAAAGCAACAAUAUGCCCAUUUCUGCAGCAGCAGGUGGCAUGGAGGUUAAGGCACCGGAUCUCACAUAGCGGACCUGGCAGCUUAAAAAUCGUACCAGCUGGAUCCCCUGGCAUAACUUGGUUUGCAACUUGUCUAGAAGUCAUGGUGCCCAUCCUUCUUGGCUUUCAUCUUACUUUAAACGAGCUCAUCUAACCCAAGAGUGAAACUUCAAGACCAGGGGGCCAUGCCUCCAUCAACAACCAUGUUUCUAACCAAGGCAGAAGCCUGGGCUGGAUGGGAUGGUGGAGAGUCUGUUGUCGAGCCAUCUACAAGGAUUUUCAAGUGAACAUUUAAAAAACUACAGUAAUUAUUUAAUUUUAUAUCCGCUAGUUGUUUUUCAAUAUGUAAUACAUAUGUAGAUGCACGUACAGUGCUCCCACCAAAAUAAUGACAAUAACAUCAUGCAAAUUUUU